rnacentral:tRNA from 1 species
GCAGGAGUGGCGGAACUGGCAGACGCGCUGGGCUGUAAACCCAGUGGAGCAUACCCUCCGUGCGGGUUCGAGCCCCGCCUCCUGUA